rnacentral:rRNA from 1 species
GUGGGGAAUAUUGGACAAUGGGCGAAAGCCUGAUCCAGCCAUGCCGCGUGUGUGAAGAAGGUCUUCGGAUUGUAAAGCACUUUAAGUUGGGAGGAAGGGCAGUAAGUUAAUACCUUGCUGUUUUGACGUUACCGACAGAAUAAGCCCCGGCUAACUCCGUGCCAGCAGCCGCGGUAAGACGGAGGGGGCAAGCGUUGUUCGGAAUUAUUGGGCGUAAAGGGCUCGUAGGCGGAUCUGUAAGUCUGGCGUGAAAUCUCGACCGCUUAACGGGGAGCGUCCGCUGGAUACUGCAGAUCUGGAGUUCGGUAGAGGAUCGUGGAAUUUCGGGUGUAGCGGUGGAAUGCGUAGAUAUCCGAAAGAACACCAGUGGCGAAGGCGACGAUCUGGGCCUGAACUGACGCUGAGGAGCGAAAGCUAGGGGAGCAAACGGGAUUAGAAACCCGUGUAGUCC